rnacentral:tRNA from 1 species
CAUUAAGUGGCCGAAUAGGUGUAAGUCUUUUAAACUUAUUAUAGUUUUACUCUUAGUGAA